rnacentral:rRNA from 1 species
AAUAGAUACCCCGGUAGUCCACGCCGUAAACGGUGGGCACUAGGUGUGGGCGACAUUCCACGUCGUCCGUGCCGCAGCUAACGCAUUAAGUGCCCCGCCUGGGGAGUACGGCCGCAAGGCUAAAACUCAAAGGAAUUGACGGGGGCCUGCACAAGCGGCGGAGCAUGUGGCUUAAUUCGACGCAACGCGAAGAACCUUACCAAGGCUUGACAUACACCGGAAACGUCCAGAGAUGGGCGCCCCCUUGUGGUCGGUGUACAGGUGGUGCAUGGCUGUCGUCAGCUCGUGUCGUGAGAUGUUGGGUUAAGUCCCGCAACGAGCGCAACCCUUGUCCCGUGUUGCCAGCAGGCCCUUGUGGUGCUGGGGACUCACGGGAGACCGCCGGGGUCAACUCGGAGGAAGGUGGGGACGACGUCAAGUCAUCAUGCCCCUUAUGUCUUGGGCUGCACACGUGCUACAAUGGCCGGUACAAUGAGCUGCGAUACCGCGAGGUGGAGCGAAUCUCAAAAAGCCGGUCUCAGUUCGGAUUGGGGUCUG